AUGGCCUGGACCCCUCUCCUCCUCAGUGUCCUCGCUCACUGCACAGGUUUCGUGGCCUCUUGUGUGCUGACUCAGCCACCCUCGGUGUCAGUGACCCUGGGACAGACGACUACAGUCACCUGCUCCGGAGAGAUACUGAGCAAAUCCUAUACACAAUGGUUCCAGCAGAAGGCAGGCCAAACCCCUGUGAUGGUCAUUUAUAUGGAUAGCAACCGGCCCUCAGGAAUCCCCGACUGAUUCUCCGGCUCCAGUUCAGGGAACACACACACCCUGACCAUCAGCGGGGCCCGGGCCGAAGACGAGGCUGACUAUUACUGUCAGGUGUGGGACAACAAUGGUAAUGCUCCCGGUGACACAGGCAGCUGGGGAAGUGAGACACAAACUCGUUCCCCAUCCGUGUCACACUCUCCUCCAGCCCCAGGAGGCCUGAGCUACCCCUGGGGCCCUGCCCACAGGCUCAGCCCCCACAGGACCCUGAGCAUGACUUCGACCCUCAGCUCAGCCCAGAAGGUGCUGCAGGAGGUGGACCCAGAGAAUGAGCCCGACAGUCUCCGGAACCUGCACGCCCUGUAUCUUUCGUAA